rnacentral:rRNA from 1 species
UGCCCUGUGACCACAAAGUUUAACGGCCGCGGUAUCCUGACCGUGCGAAGGUAGCGUAAUCAUUUGUCUUUUAAAUAGAGACCUGUAUGAAUGGCAUAACGAGGGUUUAACUGUCUCCUUCCCCUAGUCAAUGAAAUUGAUCUGCCCGUGCAGAAGCGGACAUAAAUACAUAAGACGAGAAGACCCUAUGGAGCUUUAGACAAAAGAUCAAACAUGUAAAGAAACCAAAAACCCAAAAGGAACACAAAGACCGUAAAACCAGACGUAAACUGAUCCAAAUGUCUUCGGUUGGGGCGACCAUGGGGGAAAGAAAAACCCCCACGAGGAACAGGGAAUACCCCUAAACUUAGAGAGACACCUCCAAGUAACAGAAAAUCUGACCAAAAAUGACCCAGGAUAUUAAUCCUGAUCAACGAACCAAGUUACCCUAGGGAUAACAGCGCAAUCCUUUCCCAGAGUCCAUAUCGACGAAAGGGUUUACGACCUCGAUGUUGGAUCAGGACAUCCUAAUGGUGCAGCCG